rnacentral:rRNA from 1 species
CCGGACCCGACUGCUAUUUGGGUGAGGAUAAGCCAUGCGAGUUGUAUGGGAUACCUAAAGUUCCCAUGGCAAACUGCUUAGUAACACAUGAUCAACUUGCCCUAUGGAGAAAAAUAACCUCGGGAAACUGAGGAUAAUCUUUCAUAGUUGAAUAGGCUUGGAAAAGUUUUUCAAUGAAAGGGAUAAGAAAAAUGGUUUUUAUCUGCCAUAGGAUAGGAUCGUGGUCGAUUAUGGUUGUUGGCGAGGUAACGGCUCACCAAGCCGAUAAUCGAUAGGGGCCGUGAGAGCGGGAGCCCCAAGAUGGGUACUGAGACAGCGACCCAGGCCUUACGAGGCGCAGCAGGCGCGGAACCUCCGCAAUACACGAAAGUGUGACGGGGUUACCCAAAGUGUUCAUUUAUGAACUGUGAUAGGUGAGUAAUGUCCCCUAUUAGAAAGGAGAGGGCAAGGCUGGUGCCAGCCGCCGCGGUAAAACCAGCUCUUCAAGUGGUCGGGAUAAUUAUUGGGCUUAAAGUGUCCGUAGCCGGUUUAGUAAGUUCCUGGUAAAAUCGGGUAGCUUAACUAUCCGUAUGCUAGGAAUACUGCUAUACUAGAGGGCGGGAGAGGUCUGAGGUACUACAGGGGUAGGGGUGAAAUCUUAUAAUCCUUGUAGGACCACCAGUGGCGAAGGCGUCAGACUGGAACGCGCCUGACGGUGAGGGACGAAAGCCAGGGGAGCGAACCGGAUUAGAUACGUCGGUGCUAGUUAAACGUAAUUAAACUAACAUCACGCUAAAAACCCGGGUAGUCCUGGCCGUAAACGAUGCAUACUAUGUGAUGGCACGGCCAUGAGCCGUGUCAGUGCCGUAGGGAAACCGUUAAGUGUGCCGCCUGGGAAGUACGGUCGCAAGGCUAAAACUUAAAGGAAUUGGCGGGGGAGCAC